AUGUCGCCUUCGGCCUUGCUCUUCCUGCUCGCCGCCCACCUCGCCGCCGGCGAGACCACCACCUCCACCACGACCCUCACCGCCACCCCGGCGACGCUGACCAAACCAGACCACCACGCAGUCACCCUGCAAUGGUCCAACCUCCCCGACCCGGGCCCGCUCGACUACGUGGCCGUCUACUCCCCGCCGACCUCCGGCGACCUCGACUACCUCGGCUUCCUCCUCCUCAACUCCUCCGCCUCCUGGGCCACGGGCGCCGGCAGCCUCGCGCUCCCGCGCCUGCCCGACCUGCGCGCCCCCUACCAGUUCCGCCUCUUCCGGGGGCCGCCGGGCCAGAACCCGCGCGUUGACCAGGACGGCGACCCGCUCCCGGACGCCAGCCACCGCACCGCCGUCUCGGGCGACGUGGCCCACGAGGGAUCCGGCGCCCGGCCCGCCCAGCUGCACCUGGCGUUCACCGACGAGGCGGACGAGAUGCGGGUGCUGUUCGUGUGCGGCGACGGCGGGACGAGGUCCGUGAGGUACGGGCCCGCCGGCCGGCGCGAGGAGGAGGAGGAGUGGGAGGAGGUGCCGGCGGUGGCGAGCACGUACGAGCGGCGCCACAUGUGCGGCCACCCGGCCAACCACAGCGUCGGGUGGCGCCACCCCGGGUUCGUCUUCGACGGCGUCAUGAAGGCGCUGCAGCCUGGGACCAGGUACUCCUACAAGGUUGGCAAUGAUUCAGGAGGUUGGAGUGAGACACACAGCUUCAUCUCACGCGACGCCGAGGCCAACGAGACCAUCGCAUUCCUCUUCGGCGACCUGGGCACCUACGUCCCUCACAACACCUACUUCCGAACGCCUCAAGAAAGUCUGUCGACCGUGAAAUGGAUCCUCCGCGAUCUCCAAGCCCUCAGCGACAAACCGGCAAUCAUUUCACACAUCGGCGACAUCAGCUACGCCAAAGGUUACGCAUUGUUAUGGGAUCAUUUCUUCGAGCAGAUCGAGCCCAUCGCUGCCAGCACACCAUACCACGUCUGCAUUGGAAACCACGAGUAUGACUGGCCCUCCCAGCCCUGGAAACCCUCCUGGGCAGCAAACGUGUACAACGGGAAGGACGGCGGCGGCGAAUGCGGAGUGCCAUACAGCAUCAAGUUCAGAAUGCCCGGAAACUCUUCCCUCCCCACCGGCACCGACGCCCCCGACACCCGGAACCUCUACUACUCCUUGGACGCAGGUGUUGUCCAUUUCGUUUACAUGUCCACCGAAACAGAUUUUAUCCGUGGCAGUGAUCAGUACAACUACAUAAAGGCCGACCUCGAGCGCGUCAACCGGAGCCGAACGCCGUUCGUCGUGUUCCAGGGCCACCGGCCGAUGUACACCUCGAGCAACGAGGCCAAGGACGCGGCUCACAGGGAGCAGAUGAUCCAGCACCUGGAGCCCCUCUUUGUGUAG
rnacentral:rRNA from 1 species